AAUAGAACUAUAGCAGGAAUCGAACCUACGGCCCCGCAAUGCCGUUGCAGUGCUCUAACCAACUGAGUUAUAGAGUUCAGUUGUCGAGCUCCAACCACAGGUUCUUGUUUAUAUAACAGUAUAUAUAGUACAGGUGAUGCCAUUAUAUAAAAUAUGAACAGAUUGAAAGAUUUAUGUAGGAUGGAAAUUUCAAGCACAAAUUUCAAGAAAAAUCCCAAGCGCAAAUUAAGAUUUACAGCGUCAUAUUCCCAAAAAUCUCUAUAUUUAGCCACAGGUUCGAUUCCUGUCAGAUGACAGCAUUUUCGCAGCUGCUCCUGUAGUUAAGUCUAAAAUUGUAUAUAUAUUGAAUCUUUCGUUAUCAAUUUACAUCUACUGCAUGCAGGAUCGCCGAGAGAGAGGCAGAGGGGAACAUUAUCUCGGGCGGGGCUCGCAGAACAAGGGAUCCUUAAAAUUUAUUGAUGCAAGAUUGAUGAACUCAGAAUAUAAAUCCCAGGACCCAGAUGAUACAUCUAAAAAUCUCAAAAAAUUAAGAAAAUUGUCGGCAAAAAAUAAACGAUUUUAUGUCCGCAAAAUUUUUCCGGCACCAAAUGAACCAUUUGUCCGGCGCCAUAUGUCGUGAAAAGUUUUUUAUCAAGAUUAUACGUACAGUGUAAUUUACAGCAUGAGCUCCACAAUUUACUAUAUGAGUAAAUUGUUAAACGCGUCCAAAUUUAUCAAUAUGAUAAAUGCCAAAUUCGCGGCCCUAACCCUUAACCUUAAUUUUGUGUUACACAGCUUCGAUUAUGUUAUAUUUUCCAAUUAUCAGUAACCUUGCCCGCUCAUUCAAGUGCUACAGUAUGUA